UGCUGCAGAUCACAGACCAGCGCUGAUGCACACUUGGUUAAACUCCAUCCACUGGGUGUGAAGAGAACACACGUGUGUCGGGGAGUCGGUGUGAGGUCAGAGCAAACACAACAUUGGUCAGGAUACAGGGAUGACUGAAGUUUUGAAUGGAAAAGAGAAUUUCACUGGGAGAUAGUCACAUGUCUGACUGGGGAUUUUCAACCUGUGGCUCAGGAGCCACAUGUGGCUCUUUAAACUCUUUGCUUCCUGUAAUGGACUAAAUGAAACCUGGCUGUGCUUUAAAAAGUCAGCAUUAAAUAAUCAGACAAAAAUCAUGGUUAGAACAAUUUUACAUGUCGCACUAAAGUUUCAGCCAAUAAUAGCAAACAGAAACAGAAACCACGGGGAGAGAUCAAUCAAUGCUGGCUUCAGGUCACUGCUAUCUGUCUGAACAGACUCAACCAGGACUUCUCUGUCUACGUCAAAAUACAUCAAUAAUAAAUACAUAUUUAUGGAAAAUUGGGAAAUUAUUCAUUUAAAUUAAAAGGAUCCAUGUGUGUUUUAAGCCACCCAUAAAAGUAAUAAUAGUUAUAUCUAAGCACCACGGUAGGAUGCUUAAAUCAUUGUACACACAAACGUUAGCUACAACUAGUCAUCUUUUAAAAUACAAUAAGUUUCACAACAUUUCUGCACUGGUUUAAAUGAAUCGGUCUUGGCUACAGUAUGUCUGGCUCUGUCCGUUCCUUAUAAACCAUCUAACGCUCCACUGAGUUGUUCAGAGCCACAUACUGGCCAGCAGAGGGAACAGGGUCAGAAACAAAGAGCCUGAGAAGCCUUUAUAUUAAUUGCUACACAGGUGUCAGCCCGCACGCCGCACAGGUGUUUAACAAUGACGAGGAUGUGCCGAGGUCCAAGCCCAGUGUUGGGUCACAGGGCAACUCUUCCUGGGUAACUCGAAGAUGCCAUCAAAUAUUUAGCUGGCCUCCUUUUCAUGAUCAUCGAAAAAAAAACGGAGCACGGAGCAAUGAUUAAUCAGCAAAUUUAUUCUCUCCAAGACUCGGCCCCACCAGCGGGAAUGUUACACUUCCGCAGGAGGACGGAGGAGGAUGGAAAACUCAUUAGGGACGGCCAAUGAAUAAUGGAGAAGCGUGUGUUGCUGCUAGCUUGGUUUACAUCUUCGCUGGAUCGAGAGCUGCUGUUGGCUCCAGUGGGGGUGUGGAGUUCGGGGCAGGUGGGGCAGAUGGAGACAAAGCGAGGCAGGAGGAGGAGGAGGCUGGCAGGAGUGGAGAGCUGGAGAGUCUCAGAAUCGCCACAGUGAAAGUGAGGAGAUGACUCCACUGAAAGCUGCAGCCAGCGUCGGCCUCAUCAGGCAAAAAUGGAAAAAAGGUGAAGCAGCCAGGAAGCGAGCUGCAGGGAUGCAAUGGUGUAACCAAGAUCACUGGCAGUUGACAAAAAGGGGGGAGGAUGGAACACUGAUGAGUGAUUAUGCAUGUUAGAUACACACAGGAGUUCCUGAAUGGUUCCAUAUGUGUUCCCUUCUACCAGAAAUGUUGUUCCACACACAGUGUACCCCUUCAGGUUUCAACAAUUAUUGUAUUUUUUAUAUUUCUUAAAAUAUGUUCCUCAACAUCUGAAAGUCAUUUCAAUGUCAAACUGUGCCUGCAGGAACAGGACAUACUGUGUACUCUGCAUACGUAGUAGAGUGUACUGUGACAGUAUGUGCACAGUCAUGUGGUGAAAGUGACAAAUGGAGGCGAAUGGUUGUAGGUGGCUGCAGGUGUUUGGUUUCAGGUGACCAGUGUUGCGUGGUCCACGUGGUAACCAGAGCUGGAAUCUCCGUCCAGAGGAUAAAGCUCCUCCAGGAUUGGUCGAUUCUGCCUCCUGCUCCGAUGUUUUACACGCAGGAUGGACAAUGACUGGCACAUGGUGUGUGACACGGGGCUGUUACACAACCAGACAUUGAUAUGAUGCAUGGAUGCAUCCAUGGGUGCAUUUUAAAAAUAAAAUUAGAGUUUGUUAAUGUGCGACAAUGCUCAGUGUAGCGGCUCCUGCUGACUCGCCAUGCUUCCUCCUCAGAGGUGUCUGCGAGCAUCAGGAAGUGAAAAUUGAUAAUCACAGGUCUCAAGGUGUGAGUUUCUGCACAUCCUAUAGAUAAAACUUGUUACGAGAGAGACAAGGCACUGAUGUGCUGCUCUAAUUUUUUAUGUUACCUCAGCAGCUGGAUGUGAGUCUUCAAUCUCACUCUUUCUGCAACGGUUUUGUACAUGAGAUAAGAUGAUCAGGAUAGUUAACCUGAUCGUUUUUUAAUAUUUUUCUAGUUUGUAAAUUAAAUUAUGAAAAAACAUAAAAAAGGUUAACAAUAUUAGCCAGGAAUUUUAGGAGAGGAUAAAAGACAAAGCCAAAAAUAACAGUACCUUACUGAGCUUUAAUUUAGAAAGAAGAAAAAUCAGAAUCUGAAGCUCUCAUAUCUAAAGCUAAGUUCAAUCAUUAUUCAGAAACCCAGAAAACUCUGACCCUGAGGAAACGGUGAUAAAAAAGGAACUAGGCCGAAGCAUGUAAAUAUAUAACACAGGGAUGUGGGGCAAGAGCUACAGCCACAGAUAUUUGGGAGCUUCAGUAUCUGAAAUGACCAGCAGAGUCACUGCAUGAACAACUGAUUGGAAUCUAAAGCAUAAAGAACGCUGUGUCAUGGUUUGGGGCUGCAUUUCAAAAAAAGGUGGUGGUGGGAAACUGAACAGAACUCGUGUUAGAAACUCAUUUUUAGUGAUUCAAAUCACAGGACAAAUGAAAACAACACACUCCCCAUAUACAAAAAAAAAAAAAAGAUAAAAUGAGAGUGACAAAGCCGGUACAAACUCAGAGAAUGAGUGCUGCAGGGACGAGCUGGGGUCAGGAGCAGGAGCUGAUGCUGGUGCAGCAGAUAACCUGGGCAGAAACAAAGCACUUGGAGUGGUAGAUGAUUCAUUUGGAGUGUGAUUGGGCAGCAGUGAGGGAGCAGACAAAGAGCGUGGUUGAGAAAACACUCACCGUGAGUAGGAAGACCAGCAACUCAGUGCACCGACAUUUAAAUCAGAAUCACAUUCAUCUCCACGGCAAAUGUGCUGCACUGGAUGGAGUGAUGUACGUCAUGGGGAAAAUAUCUAUUUAAAUAAUAAUCAGGGUUUUUUUUUUUUAACAGAUCUUAAAAUAAAACAAGAAGAGAGUGCAAAACCUCAGUUGAAGUAUUUAGUAUUCACUGUGAAACGACACUAUGUUUAGAACCCUGUCGUCGGUGGCAAUGGUUUGAACUGCGGCAGAGUGACAACAGGGGAAUUAACACAGAAGAUGGAAAUCACCUGCUCAAAGCUGACAGUGUGUUGUUUAGUUUCACAUGUUUACAGUAAAAUUCAAUUUUAUUCAUACGUUUUUAUUUACAUCCUCAGCUUUAAUUAACAGCCAUAACCUGCAGUGGGAUAACUACGGCCAUUACUCAGUCUGCACAUGAACUGUUGUUGCUAACAACGCUAAUAUUGUUGAAGGAUUA